rnacentral:rRNA from 1 species
GACGAACGCUGGCGGCGUGCCUAAUACAUGCAAGUCGAACGCAGUGGGGACGGGUGAGUAACACGCGGGUAACCUCCCAUCAGAGGGGAUAACACUUGGAAACAGGCGCUAAACCGAUAUCGAUGGAUGGACCCGCUGUGCAUUAGCUAGUUGGUGAGGUAACGGCCAACCAAGGCCACGAUGCAUAGCAGGCAUGAGAGGGUGAGCGGCCACACUGGGACUGAGACACGGCCCAGACUCCUACGGGAGGCAGCAGUGGGGAAUCUUCGGCAAUGGACGAAAGUCUGACCGAGCAACGCCGCGUGAGUGAUGAAGGUUUUCGGAUCGUAAAACUCUGUUGUUAGAGAAGCGGGAUCUAACCAGAAAGCCAAGGCUAACUACGUGGCAGGAGGCGGGGUAAUAC